AGCCCAGAGCUCAACUCAGCGGAGGCUGCAUCUGCAGGCCUUUGGCCUUCUGGGACCUCAUGGUGUGGUCAGGCUCAGUGUCUGCUGCUUUUCAGAACCCGGGCUACUACGACAUCCAGGCUGAGGACCUGGGCAUCUAGCAUGUGCCCAACAGGACCCCCCUGCAGCAGUGGAGAAACAGCUCUCUGCUGAGGUACCACACCAACACCGGCUUCUUCCAGAAACUGGGACACAAUCUGCUUGGCCUCUACCAGAAAUAUCCAGUGAAAUACGGAGAAGGAAAGUGUUGGACUGACAACGGCCCAGCCAUCCCUGUGGUCUAUGAUUUUGGUGACGCCCAGAAAACGGCAUCUUAUUACUCACCCCUUGGCCAGAAGGAAUUCACUGCCGGAUUUGUUCAGUUCAGGGUAUUUAAUAAUGAGAGAGCAGCCAACGCCUUGUGUGCUGGAAUGAGGGUCACGGGAUGCAACACUGAGCACCACUGCAUUGGCGGAGGAGGAUUCUUCCCUGAGGCCAAUCCCUUGCAGUGUGGGGAUUUUUCUAGCUUUGACUGGAAUGGAUAUGGAACUCAUGUCAGUUUCAGCAACAGCCGGAAGAUAACGGAGGCAACUGUGCUUCUGUUCUACCGUUGAGAGCGUCGUGGAAUAGGGCCCAGAUUUCUCCCAACCGGAGAUCCCAGGGAUGGGAACAGCAUAUCUAGUGACUGGAAUACUGAUGGCAGAGGAAAAGAGAAUAAAGCAUACUGCUCAAG